rnacentral:sRNA from 1 species
AAAUCCCCUGUCUUCCCCUGUCACCCCCUGUGUUUUCACUGUCAUCCCCUGUACAUCCCCUGUGUGCCACUGUACAGAACCCCUGUAUACCCUGUCAUCCCCUGUGCGCCCCUGUACACAACCCCUGUGUGCCACUGUAAGCCCCUGUCACCCCCUGUACGCCACUGUCAUCCCCUGUAAGCCACUGUAUACCCCUGUGCAUGCCCCUGACAAUCCCUGUAUGGUCUUUAACUGCUCGCACAGUAAAUAAAUAGCUUUUAAUUAAUUCGGAUUUUUAAAAAUUUGUAUUUGGCAUUCAUGUUUUAGACGGUGCUUGUUUUUCUUUGCAUUUCAAAGAGGGCAAUAUAACUGCAAACGUGAAUAAUUUUAACUCAACAUUGACACAAAUCAAGAUAAUUUUAUUCUUGUAUACCGAUAAACCGCUUAUUUUAUAACAUGCAUUUAAAAAUAUACCCGUGUUCUGUAGUUUGU